AUACGAAUGGAGCAAGCGUUGUUCGGAAUCACUGGGCGUAAAGCGUACGUAGGCGGAUUUUUAAGUCAGAAGGGAAAGCCCAGGGCUCAACCCUGGAACUGCUUUUGAAACUGGAAGUCUAGAGUCCCGGAGAGGUUAGGGGAAUUCCGAGUGUAGCAGUGAAAUGCGCAGAUAUUCGGAGGAACACCAGUGGCGUAGGCGCCUAACUGGACGGGAACUGACGCUGAGGUACGAAAGCGUGGGGAGCAAACGGGAUUAGAAACCCUAGUAGUCC
rnacentral:rRNA from 1 species